rnacentral:rRNA from 1 species
CACGGAGGGUGCAAGCGUUGUUCGGAAUUACUGGGCGUAAAGCGCGUGUAGGCGGUUUGGUAAGUCAGAUGUGAAAGCCCUGGGCUCAACCCAGGAAGUGCAUUUGAAACUGCCUUACUCGAGUAUGGGAGAGGAGAGUGGAAUUCCCAGUGUAGAGGUGAAAUUCGUAGAUAUUGGGAGGAACACCCGUGGCGAAGGCGACUCUCUGGACCAAUACUGACGCUGAGACGCGAAAGCGUGGGGAG